rnacentral:misc_RNA from 1 species
CCUCUCGCCCUGAAUAAUCAACCAAUGGGGAAUCAGUUCUAGAAAUCAGUGAUAUCUUCUGUCUGAGGUCAUUUGGUGUAACCAUGUCAUUUUUCUUCCCUGACAAAGAAAACCUUGAUGAAGACGAGGGGUCUGCAGGCUUCAACAGUUGAUCCAUGGGGAGAAUACCAGCUUCGAGUUGAUUGAGAGAUUUCUCGGGCUUUUCUGGACCAAAAGAUUGUUCACAUUGAAUUACAUCUUCACUACUUGAAAGAGCCUUACUCCAACUACCACCUGGGGUGAAUGUUUUUCUUUCUCCCUCCUUCAUAGUAGAACCUGAAAUUUGCUCCUCUGAACAAGUCAUAGCGGCAUCCAGACGUUUCACUCCCAUAUCCAGGUUCCUUUUCUUCAAUAUAGAAUCCAAAGGAGGUGUUUUUGGAAAUUCUAAAGCUCUAACGCCCAUGUGGGGGAUUUUGUCACCACCGAAAGAAGAGAAUGCAGAAGCCUUAAGCCUUUCAAGUUUGGAAAUGCUCUUCUGGAGGGAUGCUGAACUUGUCCAAGGUCCUCUCUUUCCAUUGCUCAAAAAGGAAAUGGGAUCUUCCAGGAAAGGCAGUUUGGAAAUGCUCUUCUGGAGGGAUGCUGAACUUGUCCAAGGUCCUCUCUUUCCAUUGCUCAAAAAGGAAAUGGGAUCUUCCAGGAAAGGC